AAGAAAGAGGGUUGAAACCUUCAUGACAAUGCUAGAGAAUUAACAGUGAGAGAUGCAUUAAGCAACAACACAGUUUUGCCUUUUACAAGCUCCCUGAGGUUUUUAUUUCAGUCAGAGGACCAAGAUUUCAGUUCAAGUCACUGGAAGAAAAGAGCUGUCAUUUAUGCUCUCUACUUACAGGUAAAUUGUCUUGUGAUUAUUUCCACAGAACUCUGACUUGGAUAAGUUCCCCAGAGGGCAAGACCAAGCUACCUAAGAUCGGAACCCUCUGAUAAUUUGUGCUGCUAUUUUAAGAUCCAGUUCCAUUCUACAACUGGCUGAAGCAUGAAGUCAACUAAAAUAAACUGAAUUGAGUGGAACUGAACUGAACUGAAGUGAAAUAAUGUGAUUUCCAGUAAACCUGACACCUUAAGGACAGAACAUGAGCCUUGCCCAUCUUCCUCCCAGAGGUCCCAGCACAAUCACCGACUCACACAAUACUCUCAGUGCAUGAGUGAUGAAUUUCACUAACAGCGACCCAUCUCUCUACAUAAUCCACUCCGGUUUCACCAGAGCUGAGAGUAUCAUGAAUUACAUCUAUAGAUAGCUGUAAGCUAAUGACCAAAGCACAUAACUGAAUUCAAACAUAUUCUUUAUUGCAGUCAGAUGUGAGAAAACAAAAUUUAGAAGACAAGCCAGAAAGGAAAUGAAGAACAUAAAGAGCCUGAAUUCUCAUCGUCAAUUUUUCCCUGACUGACUCCGUUUUCCUCUCUUCUUUCCAUUUACCUUUCUGUUCCCAUCCCCAUCAUUUUUGUAGUGUUUAUUGAGUGUCUGCUGCAUGCCAGUCAAUGUGCUGAGUACUUUUCAUGUGUUAUACCAUUUGAUCGUCACAGCAGCACACUAUUAUAAUUAUGAAUAUGAUUCCACAUACUAUAUCUAAAAUUUAACUUAAUUUUACAUAGGAGGAAGCUGAGACUUGCCCAAGACUACUCCAUUAGUAAGAUGUGAACCAAGUGAACCAUGUCUGACUCAAACCUAACCCCUGAUUCUCUGAAUCCAUAUCACCGUAGAACUCAACAGUGAAAUAUUGGGGUAGAGAUGGAUGUACCUGCUUCUUGAGCUGAAUUCUCACCAAUCCCUCAUUUCUGGUCAUUCUUAACCUUACUCCCAGAUGUGUUUGGUCUACUGCAGCCUUCGGAUCCCUACUAGAGUUUGCCUUAGGAAUCAGCUUUCUCAGACCUGUGUCUGAGAUAAAAUGUCUGGGAUAAAAUGUCAUUUAUCCUGCUUCCUGGAUUCUGAAAUUUGAUGAUUCUGUUCUCCUCUUUCAUCUCUUCUUUCUUAAACCCUUUUUUUUAAAAAAAAAUCCUGUAACUGUCAUUUACUGGAACUUCAGAGAGAAGCAGAGGUUAAUACCUAUGUUCAAUGGAUACAGGAGAUAAAAAGAAAUUAUUUAGGCAGUUAAUGAGGGUAAGAGAGUUCUUGGCAAGGCUUCCCUUUUAACACAAGCAACCCGCCAAAUCAUUUCUUUUCUAACAAAGAGCAGCCGGUAAAAUCAAGCCACAGACACAGAUAAGCAAGCUAGAAGCUUUCACAGGUAAAUGUGGCAACUGUGCCAAUAGAAACACACUACCUAAGGGCCAGGUAUGUUCAACAUGGAGGUUCCCUCUUCCCUUUUGUGGCUACAUAAGUGGUAAAAAAGCAUGGAGCCAGCCAGGUAGAGGCCUCAUCUGCAUAAUAAAAGAUUAGGGUGAGAUGUCCAGCUUCUUCACGCCCUAUGCAAACAGCACACCUGGUCUGACUAAUCUCUUGAUCCCUAUGUAAAUGAGACACCGCCUCCUCAAGCUCCUCUAUGAAAUCCCUUGCAUUUCAGUAGGAAACCAGAAGACCCACUUGGGAGCCCCAUGCUCUCUCUGCAGGAAAGAGAGCUUUUCUUGUCUCUUUUCUCUCGCCUAUUAAACCUCAGCUCUUCAACUCACUUCUUGUGUGUCUGUGUCCUUGAUUUCCUUAGUGUGAGACAACGAACCUCAGAUAUUUACCACAGACAACGUAGCCACUUCACAAUCUUGCAAAUUUUCACCAAGUCCUUUUCAUUAUUAUGUAAGGAGUUGGAACUGACUGAUGAGGGUUUGAUUGUGAUUGCCUCUAGCUCUCCCUGAUAGCAUUUGGAUGAGCUGGACAGAUGUAGGAUUAACAAAGGUCUGUAGGGUGGAGCAAAUAUGUCUCAUUACCAAGGGUAAAAUUUCAAGUGAAGAGGCUCCCAUACUAGAGCAACCACAACAAAACAAAUAACCAUGGAUUUGGGACUGAACACUAGGAAAGAGUGAAUAUAUGUUUUUGAGGUCAGCUGUGCUGAAGGCAAGAGAAGAACAUUGCCAAGUAACUUCCAAAUGUGACAUUUUUCAACCUUGGUUUAUGACUGAAAAGCCAAGAAAGACUAAGCUAAAAUGGAAUUCAGCUUCCCAGCCUAAAUAGUGGGAGAGGUCCAAAAUACAGCUAAGGAAAAUUUUACUGGGAAAGCUAGUUGUAUCCAUUUACUCUGUUCUACACAUAUCAAUUAGAAAUUUUAAAAAGGUAAGUUUGAUCAAGCUUUUAUUCCGACAUUUGAAAA
rnacentral:lncRNA from 1 species